GAGGAAAAUGGCGAAGUAUGAUCUUCCGGGUACACGCCACCGGAAAAAGGAAAAAAGCCUCGGAGGGGCAUGCCAAUAACGCCUUUAACACAUGGCGCAUGCUUGCUUCCCAAAGCUAAGGAGGGCUCUGUGCAGGCGGGCAGCCCACCCUAAGGGAAGAAUCAUGGGAAAGAGAUGGGGAACUGCGACAUGAAGAAGUUAACUUACCUAAGAUCAGAGAAUGAGUCAAGGACAGAACAGGACCAUGUCAUCAAAUUUAGAGAAACUUGAACUAUGAAAACAUCAUGGCCACUGAGCCUGGCUGCUUCCUUUGGAAAGGCCUUUGGGGGAAGAUAGAGUUUGUAAAGUGAUAGGAGAAGAGAGUUCUCAGCUACAUGAAGACUCAUUUUGCUUCAAAAGAAGGGCCCCUCAUCAGAGCAGUAAGUUCAGGAAAGUAUCCACUUCCAAGUGGUCUUUGUUUCCUAUUUGGACAUCACGGCAGUGCAUCUACAUCUGGACGAUGAUGUCUCUUACAGGAAUACAGCUCUCUCAUCAAAAUUCGGCAGACUGCAUAACCAGGGCUGGGGCAUUGUAAAGAGUUCAGGGCCUUACAAUUCUCUCCCCCAGCUCCCCUUUCCAAACACUUUGCUCUUGUCAACACAGGAAAAGUUAAAUCAUUCUGUAUUUCCAGACCCAUUAUUGAAGAAGGUAGAAAAAUAACUCUGAUGAUUAGGUUCUUUGACAUUUUACAUUGUUUAAAGAUCUAUCUUGAGAAAUAAAGGUCUCAUUAUCUAAAGAA
ensembl:lncRNA novel transcript, antisense to DEC1